CCGAUAGGCAUCUGACCUUUAAGUUGCAUAUAUGUUGUCAGGUGAAAAGGCUUCAUGGGCGCCCGGUGCAAGGCCCUUGUCAACAAGUCAGUACCGUCCCUACCGAGUACCGACCCCUCCCUCCCAGGAUUACUCGUCUGCCCACGAAGAUUGAGCACUUGUAAAGUUGUGUGCUUCAACACGAACUGUCUUCUCCUCUGAAGGCAAGACGCCCGUGACCGACAGCAAAACAAUGUGGCGAAUAGUUUUUGUUGUGCGGAUGUACUUUGGUUCGUUGCUUCUGAGGAUAGAUAGAUGCCAUAGAAGAUCGCAGCAGACCAUUCCAUGCGUACCGUCGCUUUACCUGGGAAAACAGUGGCCUCGACACAACCUUGUAGCCAUGUGAUCGUGUCAACUUCCCAACUGCUGGCUGUUACAAAUGUAGAUGGAUCUAGGAUGCCUGUUUUUGCUGUUAGUCCUCGCUAAUGAGUUGUUGGAACGUGUGCAUAUUAGAACUGUGUUGCGAGUAUCCGUGGCCAGAUGAUUUGUUUGGCGUGGGAGUAGAGUAUCGCCCGGUUGCAUUUGGCCCUGCCACCAUGUUCAAAGGAUGAGCAAUUGAGCAUGCAUGCUUUCAUCAAGGACGUCACGCAUUGUUCACUCCAGAUCUACAACCUCCAAUCUGUACUGUACCCAUUGCUCACUCUUGCAUAAUAGAAUUUUUUUUCAUCAAUGACGUCACGCAUUGUUCACUUCAGAUCUACAAUCUCCAAUCUGUACUGUACCCAUUGCUCACUCUUGCAUAAUAGAUUUUUUUUCAUCAAGGAUGCCACGCAUUGUUCAUUCCAGAUCUACAACCUCCAAUCUGUA
rnacentral:lncRNA from 1 species